rnacentral:rRNA from 1 species
CCUAUNAUGCAAGUUCGAGCGAAUGGAUUAAGAGCUUGCUCUUAUGAAGUUAGCGGCGGACGGGUGAGUAACACGUUGGGUAACCUGCCCAUAAGACUGGGAUAACUCCGGGAAACCGGGGCUAAUACCGGAUAAUAUUUUGAACUGCAUGGUUCGAAAUUGAAAGGCGGCUUCGGCUGUCACUUAUGGAUGGACCCGCGUCGCAUUAGCUAGUUGGUGAGGUAACGGCUCACCAAGGCAACGAUGCGUAGCCGACCUGAGAGGGUGAUCGGCCACACUGGGACUGAGACACGGCCCAGACUCCUACGGGAGGCAGCAGUAGGGAAUCUUCCGCAAUGGACGAAAGUCUGACGGAGCAACGCCGCGUGAGUGAUGAAGGCUUUCGGGUCGUAAAACUCUGUUGUUAGGGAAGAACAAGUGCUAGUUGAAUAAGCUGGCACCUUGACGGUACCUAACCAGAAAGCCACGGCUAACUACGUGCCAGCAGCCGCGGUAAUACGUAGGUGGCAAGCGUUAUCCGGAAUUAUUGGGCGUAAAGCGCGCGCAGGUGGUUUCUUAAGUCUGAUGUGAAAGCCCACGGCUCAACCGUGGAGGGUCAUUGGAAACUGGGAGACUUGAGUGCAGAAGAGGAAAGUGGAAUUCCAUGUGUAGCGGUGAAAUGCGUAGAGAUAUGGAGGAACACCAGUGGCGAAGGCGACUUUCUGGUCUGUAACUGACACUGAGGCGCGAAAGCGUGGGGAGCAAACAGGAUUAGAUACCCCUGGUAGUCCACGCCGUAAAACGAUGAGUGCUAAGUGUUUANAGGGUUUCCGCCCUUUUAGUGCUGAAGUUAACNCAUUAAAC